rnacentral:rRNA from 1 species
CACGCCCUAAACGAUGUCAACUGGUUGUUGGGUCUUUACUGACUCAGUAACGAAGCUAACGCGUGAAGUUGACCGCCUGGGGAGUACGGCCGCAAGGUUAAAACUCAAAUGAAUUGACGGGGGCCCGCACAAGCGGUGGAGCAUGUGGUUUAAUUCGAUGCAACGCGAAGAACCUUACCUGGCCUUGACAUGUCUGGAAUCCUGUAGAGAUACGGGAGUGCCUUCGGGAAUCAGAACACAGGUGC